rnacentral:rRNA from 1 species
AGUGAACGCUGGCGGUAGGCCUAACACAUGCAAGUCGAACGGCAGCACAGUAAGAGCUUGCUCUUACGGGUGGCGAGUGGCGGACGGGUGAGGAAUACAUCGGAAUCUACUUUUUCGUGGGGGAUAACGUAGGGAAACUUACGCUAAUACCGCAUACGACCUACGGGUGAAAGCAGGGGAUCUUCGGACCUUGCGCGAUUGAAUGAGCCGAUGUCGGGUUAGCUAGUUGGCGGGGUAAAGGCCCACCAAGGCGACGAUCCGUAGCUGGUCUGAGAGGAUGAUCAGCCACACUGGAACUGAGACACGGUCCAGACUCCUACGGGAGGCAGCAGUGGGGAAUAUUGGACAAUGGGCGCAAGCCUGAUCCAGCCAUACCGCGUGGGUGAAGAAGGCCUUCGGGUUGAAAAGCCCUUUUGUUGGGAAAGAAAAGCAGCAGGUUAAUACCCCGCUGUUCUGACGGUACCCAAAGAAUAAGCACCGGCUAACUUCGUG